AGUAAUGCCUAGGAAUCUGCCUGGUAGUGGGGGAUAACGUUCGGAAACGGACGCUAAUACCGCAUACGUCCUACGGGAGAAAGCAGGGGACCUUCGGGCCUUGCGCUAUCAGAUGAGCCUAGGUCGGAUUAGCUAGUUGGUGGGGUAAUGGCUCACCAAGGCGACGAUCCGUAACUGGUCUGAGAGGAUGAUCAGUCACACUGGAACUGAGACACGGUCCAGACUCCUACGGGAGGCAGCAGUGGGGAAUAUUGGACAAUGGGCGAAAGCCUGAUCCAGCCAUGCCGCGUGUGUGAAGAAGGUCUUCGGAUUGUAAAGCACUUUAAGUUGGGAGGAAGGGUUGUAGAUUAAUACUCUGCAAUUUUGACGUUACCGACAGAAUAAGCACCGGCUAACUCUGUGCCAGCAGCCGCGGUAAUACAGAGGGUGCAAGCGUUAAUCGGAAUUACUGGGCGUUAAAGCGCGCG
rnacentral:rRNA from 1 species